rnacentral:rRNA from 1 species
GAACGCUGGCGGCGUGCCUAAGACAUGCAAGUCGUACGAGAACGCCACCUUCGGGUGGUUAUUAGAGUGGCAAACGGGUGAGUAACGCGUGGGUAACCUGCCUCGAGGUCUGGGAUAACUCCGGGAAACUGGGGCUAAUACCAGAUGAGACCACGAGUUCUUCGGAACAUGUGGGAAAAGAUGGCCUCUUCUUGAAAGCUAUCGCCAUGAGAUGAGCCCGCGUCCCAUUAGCUUGUUGGUGAGGUAACGGCUCACCAAGGCUCCGAUGGGUAGCUGGUCUGAGAGGACGAUCAGCCACACUGGAACUGAGACACGGUCCAGACUCCUACGGGAGGCAGCAGUCGGGAAUUUUGGGCAAUGGGCGCAAGCCUGACCCAGCGACGCCGCGUGAGCGAUGAAGGCCCUCGGGUCGUAAAGCUCUGUCGGAAGGGAAGAUGGGAGCGAAAGCAAAUAGCUUAGCUUUUGACGGUACCUUCAAAGGAAGCGCCGGCUAACUCCGUGCCAGCAGCCGCGGUAAUACGGAGGGCGCAAGCGUUGUUCGGAAUCACUGGGCGUAAAGCGCGUGUAGGCGGUUAGGACAGUCGGAUGUGAAAUCCCGAGGCUCAACCUCGGAACUGCAUUCGAAACUGCCUAGCUAGAGUCUCGGAGAGGGUGGCGGAAUUCCCGGUGUAGGGGUGAAAUCCGUAGAUAUCGGGAGGAACACCAGUGGCGAAGGCGGCCACCUGGACGAU